AUCCGGGAAGACAAAAGCUUCCUGGACAGGACCUACAGUCAGGUUGUCACUCCAGGAGUACUAGCGGUGUGAGGGUUAGAGACGGAAAGGAAGGGGAUGAAACUAGUGCUGGAGACCUCGGUGGAAGUGUCUCUUGAAAACAGACCCAGAGAAGGCAUCAAAGCUUUCAGUGCGAUCAACCUUUAACCCCGCACAGAAACAGUGAAGGACAUGUGUUCGUAAAGGCCUUGUGAAAGGUCAGUCUGAAUAAAAAGGCAAAUCCUUUGCAAUGGCAUGGAGCAGCGAUAUUCCGCCUGACCUUCUGAGGUUUUCCGAGCGUUUUCUGCUCUUAUUUAAUGUAGAGAAAUUCACAUUGGAGAAUGAAAUGAUACAGGACAAAGAAGCCCAGCUUUAUCAAGACCAAUCAAACACAAUCAGAGACCACUGCUGUUUCUGUGUGUGCUUUGAGAAACCAAUUGGAUUUUAAAGCAAAUCAUAUCGAAGGCUGCUCUCAACAUCUCCUUGCUGGUAGCUCGUCACAGAUUUAUGUACAAGUUAGACACAAGAAAAGGAACAAAGGAAUCGGGAAGAAAAGAAAGAAAUUACAGAUCCACAUCAAACAUCAAAAAUGAACGGAGAAAUAUUCUGGCCAAGGCAACUAUAACACACCCUUGCAUUGCCUUUAUUUUCAUGUUGUGUUCCUUUAAAUGUAUGUGUUUGAAGUCUUUUUUUCAGACUCUUUGAAAAAUAAACUCUCAGAGAGAUAGAAGACACAUUCUCAUUCAUUUGCCAGAGGUGAGGCUUUGAUCAUGAACUUUCACAAUAAUGUCACCAGCUGCAGAUGGCUUUUACUAAAGUGCAUUUUUGAAAGUGUGCUUGGUUCGAGUCCCGUAAAGAUAUAAGAUAUGAGAAAC